CGCAGGCCCCAUAGGCCUCUGGCUUGUGUUACAGGCCACAGGGCGCAUGUAACAACAACAACCACCCCCCACCCUCCCCCGCCUCUGGCCUCUUGGCUGUGCAGCUACCCGGUUCCACACUACAGAGGCACAGGGGGACAUAAAGACCAUUGUCCUGAGUUGCAGAGGUCAAUAGCAGAGACAGGGCUUCCUUCAGGGUCCCUGAUGAAAGCUGAAGCCCACUGGAAAAGUGAAGAUACUCUCUGCAAUAUAGGCACACCAGACCACCGUACUUGUUCUUUCACAGUUGAGAACAAAAAUUUGAGCACAGAAAUAUAGGUUCGAGAAUGUCUUGCAGAUUGAGAAACUCAAGAAUUUCCCAAGUGUGUCUGGCCAUGCUGCUCCACAGCCAAACCCAGAGCAAGGGCUGCUUCUGCUUCUCUGCCUCGUCUUUGUUCAUGAUGACCAAGAUUUGGCAUCCCUUUGCCUAGCUGUGAGGAGAAAUUCAAGGAUGGCCCAAAUUGUUGAAGGUAUGGUAAUGAGGCACAUACAGAGUUCAUGGACUGAGAAAAUGAAUGGAACAGAAGAUCUUUUUAGUUUUUAAAACAGUAGUUCAAUGUUACACAUUUUCCUACUGGUUGUGAUUUGUCCUGCCUAAGGGGCAUCCCACAAUUUUUGAUAUGUUGUUUUUAUUUUCAUUUAUUUCAAAUGGUUUUGAAAUUUCCCUACUGAUUUGCUUUUCUUAUGCCGUUUAUUUCAAAUGUAAUUUCAUUUUAGUUAGGAAACAUGCUUCUAUAGGUGCUGCCAAAGUGAGCAAAAAACACACUUAUUUUGAAUUUUAAAUAUAUUGAGUCUUAUUUUAUUGACUAAAAUGAUGAAAUCUUGUUUAUUCUCUGGAAUUUUUAAAGCAAUUUAUAAUCUACUAUUGUUGAAUGGAAUGUUCAAAGAAGAAAUGUUAUUUACAUCAAAUGUUUGAUGAUAUUUUUCAGUUUUUCUAUGUCCUCGUUGAUUAUCAAUCUGUUCUAUAAUUAUUGAGUGACAUUGAAGUCUGUGACUACAGUUCAAUAUUGAAUAGCACAGAAAUAAAUACACACACACACACACACACACACAUGCACACAAAGCAACCAACCAAAAAAUUCCAGAAACCUCUGAUUAUAAUGAGUAAUUUAUUUGAAAUCUCUGACUGUAAUGAUGAAUGUAUUUUUGCUUGUGACUCUAUCAGUUUCUGUUUCAUGUAUUUUGAAAUUUUGUUAUUAAUAUCACUGAAGCUUAAGAUUAUCACAUUUCCCUAUUGAAUUGAUGUCAUAUAUGGUCAGUACAAAAUGACCAGAUUUCCCUGUUUCAUUAUUUACUCUAAAAUAACUUACUACCAAAUUAAUACAGUAACUCCAUCCUUCCUGAGACUAUGUUAGUAUGGUGAACAUUUGUCCAUUUUACUUUACCAUAUUGUUCUCUUUAUAUUUAGUGUAUAUUUCUAUAGCCAGUUUAUACUUAAAUCUUGCUUUUUGAUGCAAUCAUAAUCUCUAUCAUUUAAUUGGGUCUUUUAGAUUAUUUUGUGAUUAUAGG
ensembl:lncRNA